UACGUAGGGGGCAAGCGUUGUCCGGAUUUAUUGGGCGUAAAGAGCGUGUAGGCGGCCAUACAGGUCCGUUGUGAAAACUGGAGGCUUAACCUCCAGACGUCGAUGGAAACCGUAUGGCUAGAGUCCGGAAGAGGAGAGUGGAAUUCCUGGUGUAGCGGUGAGAUGCGCAGAUAUCAGGAAGAACACCAAUGGCGAAGGCAGCUCGCUGGGACGGUACUGACGCUGAGACGCGAAAGCGUGGGGAGCAAACAGG
rnacentral:rRNA from 1 species